GGUCACGUGGCCGAGCGGUCUAAGGCGCCAGUUUAAGGCACUGGUCCUCCGGGGCGUGGGUUCGAAUCCCACCGUGGCCU